UACGUAGGCAGCGAGCGUUGUUCGGAAUUACUGGGCGUAAAGAGUGUGUAGGCGGUGCUCUAAGUUCGGUGUGAAAUCUCCUGGCUUAACCUGGGAAUGGCAUUUGGGACUGCAAGGCUGGAGUGCGGCAGAGGAGACUGGAAUUCCUGGUGUAGCAGUGAAAUGCGUAGAUAUCAGGAGGAACACCGAUGGCGAAGGCAGGUCUCUGGGCUGACACUGACGCUCAUGCACGAAAGCGUGGGGAGC
rnacentral:rRNA from 1 species